UCUAGACUGCAAUGCUAUUCACUAAAAAUCUACCGCAACGCUGCGCCCGCCGACGAGCUCUAGGCUGAUCAGCCUUGCGAACGACCGUGGCUACAGCGCUGCGGUAAUUGGUAUUCACUAACGUGUCAAACCUCAUCGACGAACUGUAGGCUGUGAUAACUCGAGGCUGUGCGCACGGACGAGAUAGGGCUUGCAACAAAAACCGUAAAAUGAAACCGAUAACUGUAGAAAUAUAAUAUUUUAUUGACAAAUGGAAUGUUUUAUUCAGUUUAGAAUGUUAUUUAAAUAAAUAUUAUAUAAAAUAAACAUAAAUUUAUACAUCAAACAUUUGAUUUUGUUUUUUAAAGUUAAGAUUUGUUUGAAUACCCUUGCUUCCAUUGCCGUAAAAUAAACAAAUAACACUUAUACGUAGGUACGUAGAGAGUAUUAUAUUCCUUGUACUUAACAUUCCAGAGGCGCACUUUUUGUAUUUGUUUAUUCUCUUUUAAAAAUAAUUAAUAAAAUUAACGUAACUUUACCAACUUUUUAUAAGUUUGGAUGUAUCUAUCAAAUACGUCCACGCCGUCAUUUGACUGACAGUAUCCCGAUGACACUUAUCUCCUUCACAAUAGCAGCCUCAACUAGAAAGAGAGUAGUCUCACAAAGAUUUGUUGCCACUGAAGAGCACCGAGUAGAGACAGAACAAAUUUUGAUAGAGAAUCAGACAACACUAGUUCAUAUCUUAUAGCUAAUGAAUGAGAUAUGACUAAAUUAAAGUCAGCCAUUGUACGAU